GACAUGUUGUGUCUUGCAGCAAUAACGGCAUAAACUGUCGUCUUUAUGCCUACGUUAUCUGUGAAUUGAAACAAGAUCUUUGUGUAAAUGAGAGUAAAUCCUUCAUAGAACACAAAGGUGUCUUUAAGUUUGUUGGUGUAUGAGCUCAGCAGGUUGUUGCACAUCUCUUUUGUGGACUGAGUGAUAACACGACUGAACGACGGCAGACGAUCCAUGAGACCGAUAUAAACACCAGUUCGGUGCAGCGUUGCUCCAGAUGGACCCGGAUUCCUUCGGCCUGGUGCAGCGCCUGUCGCUCCUCCACCUCUAAGAUCUCGCUCACUUCCUUCUUGGCCUGCUCCACGGCCGCCAGCAGUAUGUUAAACUGCUCCUCGAUCACUCCACGCACCUCCUUCACAGACGCCUGCAGACAGACAGACAGACAGACUGAGACACUUCACAGUCAAAGAG